GCAGAGGGUAGCUCCCCUCCUGCCUGUGGCUUGCGCUGGCCUAGAGAGUAUAGGGCAGAAGGAUGGCAGAUGAGUGACUCCGCAUCCAGAGCUGCCUCCCUUUAAUCCAGGAUCCUGUCCUUCCUGUCCUGUAGGAGUGCCUGUCGCCAGUGUGGGGUGAGACAAGUUUGUCCCACAGGGCUGUCUGAGCAGAUAAGAUUAAGGGCUGGGUCUGUGCUCAGUUAACUCCUGUGGGCACAGGGGCUGGGAAGAGCAAAGUCAGCGGUGCCUACAGUCAGCACCAUGCUGGGCCUGCCGUGGAAGGGAGGUCUGCCCUGGGCGCUGCUGCUGCUUCUCUUAGGCUCCCAGAUCCUGCUGAUCUAUGCCUGGCAUUUCCACGAGCAAAGGGACUUGACGAACACAAUGUCAUGGCUCGUUACCUCCCUGCCACAGUGGAGUUUGCUGUCCACACAUUCAACCAACAGAGCAAGGACUACUAUGCCUACAGACUGGUGCACAUCUUGAAUUCCUGGAAGGAGCAGGUGGAGUCCAAGACUGUAUUCUCAAUGGAGCUACUGCUGGGGAGAACUAGGUGUGGGAAAUUUGAAGACGACAUUGACAACUGCCCUUUCCAAGAAAGCACAGAGCUGAACAAUACUUUAACCUGCUUCUUCACCAUCAGCACCAGGCCCUGGAUGACUCAGUUCAGCCUCCUGAACAAGACCUGCUUGGAGGGAUUCCACUGAGUGAAACCCACUCACAGGCUUGUCCAUGUGCUGCUCCCACAUUCCGUGGACAUCAGCACUUCUCUCCUGAGGACUCUUCAGUGGCUGAGCAGCUUUGGACUUGUUUGUUAUCCUAUUUUGCAUGUGUUUGAGAUCUCAGAUCAGUGUUUUAGAAAAUCCACACAUCUUGAGCCUAAUCAUGUAGUGUAGAUCAUUAAACAUCAGCAUUUUAAGAAA